AUUGCCUCAGUAACGGCGAGUGAAGCGGCAAGAGCUCAAAUUUGAAAGCUGGCUCCUUCGGAGUCCGCAUUGUAAUUUGCAGAGGAUGCUUUGGGUGCGGCCCCCGUCUAAGUGCCCUGGAACGGGCCGUCAGAGAGGGUGAGAAUCCCGUCUUGGGCGGGGUGUCCGUGCCCGUGUAAAGCUCCUUCGACGAGUCGAGUUGUUUGGGAAUGCAGCUCUAAAUGGGUGGUAAAUUUCAUCUAAAGCUAAAUACUGGCCGGAGACCGAUAGCGCACAAGUAGAGUGAUCGAAAGAUGAAAAGCACUUUGAAAAGAGAGUUAAACAGCACGUGAAAUUGUUGAAAGGGAAGCGCUUGCGACCAGACUCGCCCGCGGGGUUCAGCCGGCAUUCGUGCCGGUGUACUUCCCCGUGGGCGGGCCAGCGUCGGUUUGGGCGGCCGGUCAAAGGCCCCUGGAAUGUAGUGCCCUCCGGGGCACCUUAUAGCCAGGGGUGCAAUGCGGCCAGCCUGGACCGAGGAACGCGCUUCGGCACGGACGCUGGCAUAAUGGUCGUAAACGACCCGUCUUGAACCACGGGAC
rnacentral:rRNA from 1 species